GGAGAGGUGACCGAGUGGUCGAAGGUGCAUGAUUGGAAAUCAUGUGUACCGGCAACGGUACCGCGGGUUCGAAUCCCGCCCUCUCCG
rnacentral:tRNA from 2 species